GGCACAGUGAGGGAGAUCACGGCAUGAGUGCCACCGCGGCAAAAUUUACUGGUCACGGUGGCCGCCGGUGAAGACUCCGGCUGGGCUCGGGAGAUGGCGCCACGUAUGAGUUAUCCCUCCCCGGAGUUAUCAGUUCCACGCCGAACACGAAUCGGGACACACGCGGCACGAAUCACGGUGGAGAGGUCGUCGGCGGUGAGAUUUUUGGUGCCGAUGGUCUGAUCCAGUUCUGGUACUGUACCAUGGUGAAUGGUAUUCAGUCGGUCUGACAGAGUAGAUUCAAGGCAGAUUU
rnacentral:lncRNA from 7 species